GAUGAACGCUGGCGGCGUGCUUAACACAUGCAAGUCGAACGGGAAACCUUUUAAUGAAUCUUCUGCAGCUUUAGCUGUUUUCUAGUGGCGGACGGGUGAGUAACGCGUGGUUAACCUGCCUUAUACAGGGAGAUAACAGUCAGAAAUGACUGCUAAUACCGCAUAAGCGCACAGGACCGCAUGUUCCGGUUUGCAAAACUCCGGUGGUAUACGAUGGACCCGCGUUGGAAUAGCUUGGUGGUGGGGUAACGGCUCACCAAGGAGACGGUCCAAGGCCGGCAUGAGAGGGUGAACGGCAAAAUUGGGACAGAGACACGGCCCAGACACCUGCGGGAGGGAGCAGGGGGAAUAUUGCAAAAUGGGGGAAACCAUGAUGGAGCGACGCCGCGAGAAGGAAGAAGUAUCUCGGUAUGUAAACUUCGAUCAGCAGGGAAGAUAGUGACGGUACCUGAAGAAGAAGCACCGGCUAACUACGUG
rnacentral:rRNA from 1 species